GCGUGUGUGAAGAAGGCCUUCGGGUUGUAAAGCACUUUCAGUUGGGAAGAAAAGCGCAGGGUUAAUACCCCUGUGUCUUGACGGUACCAACAGAAGAAGCACCGGCUAACUCCGUGCCAGCAGCCGCGGUAAUACGGAGGGUGCAAGCGUUAAUCGGAAUUACUGGGCGUAAAGCGCGCGUAGGCGGUUGUGUAAGUCGGGUGUGAAAGCCCCGGGCUUAACCUGGGAACUGCAUCUGAUACUGCACAGCUAGAGUCUGAUAGAGGGAAGUGGAAUUCCGCAUGUAGCGGUGAAAUGCGU
rnacentral:rRNA from 1 species